CUCCUUCUUUUAGCUUCUUGCUUCCCUUUGAUCUUAGGGUUUUCAUUGUCAAUCUUCGCGGCUUUAUUUCUCGGCGAUGGCGAAGAACAGGAAUAAGAAGAAGAAGGGAAGUGGAGCAAUUUCCAUGGACAUAACCGAAAAUUCUGUUCACGAGCUCCCUCAAGCGAUGGACGUGCUGAGUCUGCAGUUCAUAAACCAGCUUCUGGCGCUCUCAAUCUAAAGCUGAAGAAGGGGGGAAGACCAAUGAAGCGAUCGAAGAAUGUUAGGAAAACAAAAGCCAUAUCCAAGACCGAACAAUCCGCCGAGAAAAUAUUGAAAAAUCAGGGGAAAACUACCAGGAUACACUCUGCAAAAACAUUGUAUGAAUGAUACAGCCCUUAAAUUAUGAAAUUGAUUUAUUUCUGUUCCCUUCA